rnacentral:snRNA from 1 species
CCGCUCCAUGUGCGUCCCUCCCGAAGCUGCGCGCUCGGUCGAAGAGGACGACCUUCCCCGAUAGAGGCGUACCGUUCAUCGGUCCAAGGGUAUACGGUAGCUGCGCUCCCCUGCUAGAACCUCCAAACAAGCUCAAGGUCCAUUUGUAGGAGAACGUAGGGUAGUCAAGCUUCCAAGACUGCAGACACAUCCAAGUGAGGCACUGCAUGGGGCAGUCUGCCAUUGUUU